ensembl:lncRNA
UUCCAAAUAUGUUAAUGCAACCAUCAGUAUUUUCCAGUAAUUACAAAAUCAGUCAUUUUUAAUAGUUGUUCCUUAUUAACAACAAAUCAUUAUAACACAAAUGUUGAUCAACCAUCAGAGCAAAGACAGAUUCAUUUGCAGCACAUCAGACAGUUUGCUUGAUAGACAAGCACUGGCUGCAACAAUCAGGAAAGAACAGUCGGAGAGGCAUUUUUGUAAACUUGGGUCCAUUGGUCACAUAAUAUAUUUCAGAUUUCAAACACCCCUGGGAAGACGUACAGUGAAACAGUAUUUGCCCCCUUUCUGAUUUUUCUCUACUGUUGCAUAUUUUUAUACUGACUGUUAGCAGGUCUUCAACCAAAACCUAAUAUUAGAUAAAGGGAACCUGAGUUUACAAAGAACAGUCAUUUUAUUUAUUUAAUUAACAAAUGGGACCCAUGUCAUCCCAAAAAUUAUACUUUUCAAUCAUCUGUCCAUAGAACAUUCUUCCAGAAGUCUUGAUGAUCGUCAUUUUGGCAAACUUGAGUAAACUUUUUGGACAUGGGUUCCAUUAUGGGGUGGCAGGUAGCCUAGUGGUUAGAGCGUUGGGCCAGUAACCAGCAGGUAGCCUAGUGGUUAGAGCGUUGGGCCAGUAACCAGCAGGUAGCCUAGUGGUUAGAGCGUUGGGCCAGUAAUCAGCAGGUAGCCUAGUGGUUAGAGCGUUGGGCCAGUAAUCAGCAGGUAGCCUAGUGGUUAGAGCGUUGGGCCAGUAAUCAGCAGGUAGCCUAGUGGUUAGAGCGUUGGGCCAGUAACCAGCAGGUAGCCUAGUGGUUAGAGCAUUGGACCAGUAACCAGCAGGUAGCCUAGUGGUUAGAGCAUUGGGCCAGUAACCAGCAGGUAGCCUAGUGGUUAGAGCGUUGGGCCAGUAACCAGCAGGUAGCCUAGUGGUUAGAGCGUUGGGCCAGUAAUCAGCAGGUAGCCUAGUGGUUAGAGCGUUGGGCCAGUAACCAGCAGGUAGCCUAGUGGUUAGAGCGUUGGGCCAGUAACCAGCAGGUAGCCUAGUGGUUAGAGCGUUGGGCCAGUAACCAGCAGGUAGCCUAGUGGUUAGAGCGUUGGGCCAGUAACCAGCAGGUAGCCUAGUGGUUAGAGCGUUGGGCCAGUAACCAGCAGGUAGCCUAGUGGUUAGAGUGUUGGGUCAGUAACCAGCAGGUAGCCUAGUGGUUAGAGCGUUGGACCAGUAACCAGCAGGUAGCCUAGUGGUUAGAGCGUUGGACCAGUAACCAGCAGGUAGCCUAGUGGUUAGAGCAUUGGGCCAGUAACCAGCAGGUAGCCUAGUGGUUAGAGCAUUGGACCAGUAACCAGCAGGUAGCCUAGUGGUUAGAGCGUUGGGCCAGUAACCAGCAGGUUGCUAGAUUGAACACCCGAGCUGACAAGGUAUAAAUCUGUCAUUCUGUCCCUGAACAAGGCAGUUAACCCACUGUUUCUUGGCCGUCGUUUAAAAUAAGAAUUUGUUCUUAACUGACUUGCCUGGUUAAACAAAAUUGUUUUUAUGCCUGGCAAAAACUAAACACUGCAUUCCACAGUAAGAACCUCAUACCAACGGUCAAGCAUGGUGGUGGCAGUGUGAUGGUUUGGGGUCAGCAUGGUGGUGGUAGUGUGAUGGUUUGGGGUCAGCAUGGUGGUGGUAGUGGGAUGGUUUGGGGUCAGCAUGGUGGUGGUAGUGUGAUGGUUUGGGGUCAGCAUGGUGGUGGUAGUGUGAUGGUUUGGGGUCAGCAUGGUGGUGGCAGUGUGAUGGUUUGGGGAUGCUUUGCUACCUCAGGACCUGGACGACUUGCCUUAAUAGUAGGGAACCAUGAAUUCUGCUCUGUAUCAGAGAAUUCUACAGGAGGAUGUCAGGCCGUCCGUCUGUGAGCUGAAACUGAAGUGCAGCUGGGUCAUGCAGCAAGAUAAUGAUUAAAAACACAAGUCUACAUAAAAAUGGCUAAAGAGCAACACAUUUGAAGAUUGGAAUGGCCUAGUCAAAGUUUAGACCUAAUCCCUAGUCCCAAUUGAGAUGUUGUGGCAGGACUUGAAAAGAGCAUUUCAUGCUUGAAAACCCACACAUUGCUGAAUUAAAGCAGUUCCGCAUGGAAGAGUGGGACAGAAUUCCUCCACAGCGACGUGAGAGACUGAUCAACAACUACAGGAAGUGUUUGGUUGGAGUCGUUGCAGCUAAAGGUGGACUGAUCAACAACUACAGGAAGUGUUUGGUUGGAGUCGUUGCAGCUAAAGGUGGACUGAUCAACAACUACAGGAAGUGUUUGGUUGGAGUCGUUGCAGCUAAAGGUGGACUGAUCAACAACUACAGGAAGUGUUUGGUUGGAGUCGUUGCAGCUAAAGGUGGACUGAUCAACAACUACAGGAAGUGUUUGGUUGGAGUCGUUGCAGCUGAAGGAGGCACAACCAGUUAUUGAGUAUAAGGGGACAAUCACUUUUUCACACAGGGGAAUUUGGUGUUGCAUAACUUUGUUUAUGAAAUAAAUUAAAUAAAGAAUGUAAUUGUUGUGUUAUUUGUUCACUCAGGUUUCCUUUAUCUAAUAUUAGGUUUUGGUUGAAGAUCUGAUAACAUUCAGUGUCAAAAAUAUGCAAAAGAAGAGAAAACUAAAAAGGGGGAAAAUACUUUAUCACGGGAACAACGGCCACUAAAACACCCUUCUACCAUAGUAAAACACCCUUCUACCAUAGUAAAACACCCUUCUACCAUAGUAAAACACCUUUCUACCAUAGUAAAACACCCUUCUACCAUAGUAAAACACCCUUCUACCAUAGUAAAA